rnacentral:lncRNA from 1 species
AGACAUUGCACAAAGGGCAGGAUGGGCUGUCCAGGAUGUGCAACUUCUGCCCGUGGCGAGCGUGGACGUCAUGGGGCAGCUGGCAGAAAGGGAGGCUGCCGUACUCCGUGCGCGCAGACACGGUCCCUCUUCCCUUGGCUUUGUUCGGUGCUAUCUGUCUGCUUUCCUAAUUAGCCACCAUCCUGCUACCUCUCCUAGCAGACAUGAUGCAAAAUAAAUGACCUAAGAAUUCCCCCAACACAUGGCUCAUUAGUGAUGGACCAAACACUGGGAAAAGCACGCAGAAGGGUUGGUCACAGCCCGGCAAGGAGGUGAGAAAAAUGAUCUACCAGCUUCUUUCUCCAAGCAGAGCAUGGGGCCAUACGCCGAAGGCACCCCUCUUGUACCCAGGGAGUCUACAUCCUCCUGUGGCUAUGCAGCUCCAAGUGUGGCCAGGCUACUUCCAAGCCCACACGCCCUUCCCAGUUUUCCCCAAAUCCUCAUGAACAUAUGGCUCUGGCAGUUAUCAAAAACUGUUGGACAGAGACUUUGUGGUCAGCUUGAUCUGUCCCGUAUGGCCAUCUGAUCUCUUUGUUUGCUCGACUGCGGUCCCUCCGCUCACUGCGGAGAUGAUUUGAGUAACGCUUCCCGUGUUUUCUGUCCUUCUGCUGCCUUGGGUUUGCUCCCUGGUACAAAGUGUUGUCUUCUUCUUGGCUUCGAGGAUGAAAAUGACAUGGCUUGACCCUGGCUGCCGCAGAGGUUUUUUUCAGUCUUUCCUGUAUUGCAAAGUGCUCCCUGCAGCAAACUUGUCCGUGUUCAGGAGGACGGCUUGCAACAAGGCACCAGAAGAGGCGAGGAACGGGGUGCUUCCACCUGGAAACUUUGCCUUCUGUCAAGACCUGUCGUUCCGGACCUGGCUCUGGCUGAACCCCGGUGAACUUCCCCUGCAUCCCCUUCCCUGCCGGCGAGCUUGCAGCCGUGAACUUCCCGUGCCCGACCCGAGCAUCUCCGAGAGGUGUGAUCCAAGCCGUGGCGGUAAGGCUGCAGCCAGAGGAAGGAGAUUGCCGGCCCGCCCCUGGCUCCUGCUCAGCCUCCCUAAUCAACGGAGGAAUGUCUCUGGACGCGAGUGCUCCUGGAUAAGCUGCUCUGUGCACCGCUUGGCUUCGUGA